GGGAAGGCAUGGAAUCCCUAGUGCGUGCGGGCCCCAAAAUGGUUUUUGACUGGUGAGCUAGGGGGCACUGCACACCAUUUCAUGCCCAAAACUUGUCUCUUUGCUUAACCAAUAUAAGUUAAUUACGACCCCACUCUAAACCACCCCUAUAAGUACCCUUCAAAUCCUUCAAAACAUCCUCACAACCAUUAGUGCAAAACUCAAACACAAAUUCUCUUACUAUACAACAAGUUCUUCCACUCAAGAACAUCAUGAAAAUGAACAGCACCAACGUGGGAAACUCCAAAAGAAGGAUUUCGAGCAGAGGCCUUGGAGGCCUCCUUAGAGAACAAAGGGCUAGGCUCUACAUAAUAAGGAGGUGUGUUGUCAUGCUUCUUUGCUAUCACGAUUGAUCAAAGCUUUCGUUGAUGGACAAGGACGAGAAGAAUUUACACUUUUUCUUACUUUUUCCAACUUUCUUAGAGUGUAAAUAGCAAUAGCUACACGUACUAGCUACAAGCUAACAAUUUUGUAUUGACCGACCUAAUUCGGCUUCAUGUAUAUUGUACAUCCAAUAGCUUGUAUUGAAACGAUCAUUUUGAUUUCAUUACAUAUGUUAAAUUCCUUUUCUUUUUUUCCAUUCAAUCUUUAGUCUUGAUGUGAUGAUGAAAAUCCAAUUUUCUUCGAUUUUUCGCAAUAUAUAUCUACUUUAUUUACGUGGCAGCAAAUACAAAUUGAUCAGUUA
rnacentral:lncRNA from 1 species